rnacentral:rRNA from 1 species
GGCUCAGAUUGAACGCUGGCGGUAGGUUUUAAACAUGCAAGUCGAGCGGUAACAGACAUUUUGAUUCAGCUUGCUGAAUCUCGUGCUGACGAGCGGCGAACGGGUGAGUAACACGUAGGAAUCUACCCAGUAGCGGGGGAUAGCCCGAGGAAACUCGGAUUAAUACCGCAUACGCCCUACGGGGGAAAGGGGGCAUCUUUGAUGCUCUUACUAUUGGAUGAGCCUGCGUAAGAUUAGCUUGUUGGUAGGGUAAAGGCCUACCAAGGCGACGAUCUUUAGCUGGUCUGAGAGGACGAUCAGCCACAUUGGGACUGAGACACGGCCCAGACGUCUACGGACGGCAGCAGUUAAGAAUAUUGGACAAUGGGGGAAACCUUGAUCCAGCCAUACCGCGUGUGUGAAGAAGGCCUUAGGGUUGUAAAGCACUUUAAGCGAAGAAGAAGAAAAGUAAAUUAAUACCUUACUUUUUUGACGUUAUUCGCAGAAUAAGUACCGGCUAACUCCGUGCCAGCAGCCGCGGUAAUACGGAGGGUACAAGCGUUAAUCGGAAUUACUGGGCGUAAAGCGCGCGUAGGCGGUUAAGUAAGUUGGAUGUGAAAGCCCUGGGCUCAACCUAGGAACUGCAUUCAAAACUAUUUAACUAGAGUGCGAGAGAGGAGAGUAGAAUUUCUGGUGUAGCGGUGAAAUGCGUAGAUAUCAGAAGGAAUACCAAUGGCGAAGGCAGCUCUCUGGAUCGUCACUGACGCUAAGGUGCGAAAGCGUGGGUAGCAAACAGGAUUAGAUACCCUGGUAGUCCACGCCGUAAACGAUGAGAACUAGCCGUUGGGGAGAAUUAACUCUUCAGUGGCGCAGCUAACGCAUUAAGUUCUCCGCCUGGGGACUACGGCCGCAAGGCUAAAACU